rnacentral:lncRNA from 1 species
AGUGGCCAGGAGGGCAAGUGGCACCCUUCUGUGGAAGUAAAUUUGCCUUGCUGAGAAAUUCUUUGUUUGAGUGCUCAUUUUCCUUGCGACUCCAAGCUCUUAUUUCCAACAGGGAAAUCUUUGACCUGUUUAUGUAACAAAGGAUGAGAUAGAAAGACAGAAAUGCUCAAGGAUGGAAAGAAAAGUGAGUGAGCAAGAGAGAUUAAGAGACAGAGAGUCAGAGUGUAACUUGGAAAAGUGGUGAAGAAAAUCUCAGGAAAAAAGGAGCACUCCACGACUGCUGAGGGUUCAAGAAGAGGACAGAGAAUUGAUGCUGUAUGUGCCUGAACAAGACAAUUGACAACCUUGUUGAGAGCAGUUUCAGUGGAAUAGUCAGGGAGAGAAAACCUGGAUUGGAGCAUGCUAAGGAAUGGAAGUAGAGAUGAAAGCACUCAGGGGUGCCCAGCAGGACAGCCUCCAGCUCUUCCAAUCAGAGCUGUAACACCAUUUCCUGAAACACCGUUUUCAACUAAGCUUUGGAGUGACAAAAAUACCUGUUAUCACGGACUAAUGCCUCCAGGAAAGAAAUCCUCGUGAUAUGCAUCUGUCCCCAAUAUGGCCACAGUAAAUCUGAGAGGAAGAAGGCACAGGUAAAAAUUAGGCUUGCUCAUAGAAUACAAUAUUUAUGACUGUUGUUUACGCCUGCUUGUUUUACAGAGGAAAAUUAAGAGCUGUGGAAAUUAAAGACUAAGAUACGCAGCUAGCUAAAAGCAGAGCCUAAGUUCCAGGUUCCUGAUCCACUGCUCAUUAUUCUUUGAAGAAAAGAUCACUCAUAUUGUUAAGGAUUCUUUAGAUCUUAUAUAGAAAUCUACAACAUUUACACCUCUAUUCUGAAUAUUUAACUGACUCUGAAAUAUACAAGGCACUGUGCUGGGCCCUGAGGAAUAAAAAUUUUGUGUAAGACUCCAAAGCUGCACUUAGAGGGCUUGUGAUUGUAUGGAGGUAGCUAGUGGGAAGGAGAUUGGAACGUGUUCCCAAAAGUUUCUAGAAAAAAAUAAUUUAAUACAAAUGUUGUGUGAAUGGAACAGAAAGGUACCACAGGUACACUAAGGGUAAAGAAAGUACUUCCUGAGGGAGUAAUCAAUAAAGCUAAGAUUCCUACAAUUGAUCAAUGUCCAACAGGAGACCUUGGGUUUUUCAAUAAAAGCCAUUAAGCAGCAACAGUGAUCUCAAUCCCAUAAAAGGAUUCCAUAAACCAAACAUUUAGUUGGUAUAGAUAAAUAACUGUAAGAUACCUUAUUAAAUGUCCCACUAUUAAAAUUAAGCUUUACAAUUAUCUACCAAUUGGACAAUGCCACCAACACAUGACAGUAUUAGUGUUCUUGUUUUAUAAACGUUGUCGUGUGUGUGUGCGUGCACACGUGUCUUUGUAUAUGAAUGUGUAUGUAUACAUAUAUAACAAACAGGGGUGUUAUUGAAAAACAUUUAAUGAAGUUAAUGUAAAGUAUUAAUGUCCAAAGCAAAAAAUUAAGACUAUAUUUUUAUUUUCUAGACAGAACUAUGUGUUUAUAUGCAUAAUAAAACUGCUUUCCAAGUGAUGUAAGUUCAAGUCACUUUAAUCAUUCCCAAAUCACCUGCUGAGGUUUAGCAUUUCUUUUCCACAUAUCCCAUCACACUGUGUCCCUCCUCACUGGGUUUCCGCUGCACACUUGGUUGCAGUGAAG